GACUGGGAUUGGCUCUGUGGUUAGAGCAUCUGCCUUGGAUGUGAGAGGUCAUGGGUUUGAACCCUGGCCAAGUCA